UACGUAGGGUGCGAGCGUUGUCCGGAAUUAUUGGGCGUAAAGAGCUCGUAGGCGGUGUGUCACGUCGGCCGUGAAAACCUGCAGCUUAACUGUGGGCGUGCGGUCGAUACGGGCAUCACUGGAGUUCGGCAGGGGAGACUGGAAUCCUGGUGUAGCGGUGAAAUGCGUAGAUAUUGGGAGGAACACCGGUGGCGAAGGCGGCCCUCUGGACCGGUACUGACGGCUGAUGCGCGAAAGCGUGGGUAGCAAACGGGGAUUAGAUACCC
rnacentral:rRNA from 1 species